CCCCCCCCCCUGCCUUUCUUAUAUAUUAUCUUUCACACACAAUUCGUUUGUGCUCUCUGCGUCUCGGCCUUCAAGAGCUUGCCAAGAAUCGUCCGUGCAGUUGAAAGGCUUCUGGCGAAGCUACAGGAGGUUCAUGCACCCUCUUGCGUCCAAACAGCCUCUUACAAUUGCUCUAAUUUCUGGUGAAAAACUGUCGGGAGAAUUUUCGUUACUCAAUUCAGUCUUUUCGGGACCAAAAUGCUUGGUUUUAGUGGGGACCAGCUCUUGGGAUAGAACGUCCGUCAUGGGCAAUGUUCACGCAUUAGCAACAAAAAGCUGCGAGAAAGAUUACGUCGAUGCUAUGGUUCAGAACCCAUGUCGGCGACUGUGAGAAACUCAUUUGCAUCCAUGCUAGCCUUGAAGGUAUGCUACACGAACUUUUUUAUCGAACACAUGGUCUCUCGGAGAUGACGAACAUAGUCCAUUACAGUCCUGGAAAUAUAUGCGAGGUACUUUAGUUUGCUAGAAGAGCCAUCGGUCUUGGAGAGCCUCUGUAACUGUGAUCGCUGAUUUCAUCAUUGGUUUAAUUUGAGCCUCAACUCAAUGGCCGAAGCCAACAGUGGAGCAGCUGUUCCUGCUGCUGUUCUCUUUUGGCUCAUUUUGUAACAUGGCAUCCUGAAGAAUUCAUGCAAGGAGUUCGAUCAGGCAAACUUUAUCGCAGCUGUUUCUAAACGGGUUGUGUAGCUGUAACGAGGGCACAACAGUUCAGAGGAAAUUAAUUCGAACAGGGCAGGUGGGUUAGAUUAAUGGUUAAUUUCACGUUGCUGUCAGUGGUGUUGCUACUGAGCCUGACCUUCAUGCUACUAGUGCUUCCGGUCGUCCUGCCGCCCUUGCCUCCGCCGCCCCCGUUCUUGAUGCUUACACCUGUGGCCAUCAUUUUGCUGGUGCUCAUCGCUUUUGUACCUCUCGGGUUCAAUGCGACUCGGGAAGGUAUCGUAACUCUUGAAUUGGUUUCUCAGAUUUUGUAUUGCCGAAAUUUUGUGGUCAUACUAAAUGGGAAAUAUCGUGUUCCGGAUCUUUUAGAGAUCUCAUUGCCAAUGAGAUUUCACGUCAUACGUCUCACUUUUACUCCUUAGUUGAUGAAGAAGAAAUCCUCAACAAUACAAACAACUUUCAGCUCAGUUUUUGUCCUACUAAUCACGACAGUCAUCUUGUUUGCCGCAGUGUGGACUUGAUGUGGGCUUCAAGCUCAUCAACGUAAACAACUGACCUCUUACUACCUACUCCAAAAACUCUCGCCAGUGUAGACCGUAGCAGUUUAAAAACUUUAUUCAUUCAGCCACUUAAUCUUGCAUCUAAGACGCAGCAGGAAACCAGUUUUCAUAUCUGGCUUUUAAGACUCGACAAUGUCCAAUUCAAUUCAAACUUUCCUGCAUUAUAUGGUACAUAGAAGUGCCCUGUAUCAAUCGUCUGGGAGUUGAGGCAUCAAGGAGGCCAGCACUAAUCGUCGGAGCGGUGGUGAAGGUCUCUAACAAAGCUUCAAGAGUAGAAACUGAACAGUCGAAUUUAGGAAGGCUCGUUGGAUUCUAUGCACCCUCAGAAACUGAUGUCGGCGUUGAUUGCCGCCUCUCUGGCAACAAACACCUCCUAGAGGGACUUCGUCAAAGUUCUCAGGCACCGAUUCUGGAGGCAGCAUGCUCAUGCAUAAACACUGUUCAGCAGUGUCCAUUCUUGUGAUGGUCCUGACUGAUCAACGAUUAAUUUUAUCAGGUCUAGAUGUGGUUGUGCAAGUGGAGAAGUUGCUGGAGGAUCAGGUUGAGAGAAACACUCCAAUUGAAAAGGAAGCCCAGGACAACUUCCACCAUCUCGGACCUGCCCCAUCGCAACUACAAUGCGUAAUUUUCAUAAUUGGAUUGAUUGUGUUCACAUUUAUGUUAGAGUUGAGCCUUGUGUUUGUAUGUGUUGGGUAGUUAUUUAGUGGAAGUUGUGGUUGCCCAGAGGGCAGAUGUCUCCCAUCAUCCUUUGUAUUAUUGUCUCCUGCAUCAAGGCUCUAAGCUUCUAAUGAAGAAGCUUGAAAGCCGAUGGUAACUUUACGAGAAAAGUUGUUGCUGGUGACAUGCCUGGAAGGUUGGAUAAAAUUCAGUCUUGUAGAAGCCGUAGUACAAGAAUUAUUUGUAGAAAAUUCAUUGGAUGAUUUAGUUAUGAUUUUUGAACAUAUAUAUAUAUAUAUAUAUAUAUUUGAUUAUAGUAACAACGAUGUCAUAAGUAAGUUAGAAGUAAAUUAGGAGUAAUUUAAUUUCAUAAGUGUUACAAUUUCUUAUGGACCAAGAUAUGUUAAUAGUCAAUCUUAAUUAGAGAAUAUGUUUUAAAUAUUAAUGUGUAGUUAAUCUGGUAAAAUAAAAAUAUUUAUAUAGUUCAUUUGAUGGU